UCCGGUUUGUCACCGGCAGUCCCAUUAGAGUGCCCAACUGAAUGUGGCGACUAAUGGCAAGGGUUGCGCUCGUUGCGGGACUUAACCCAACAUCUCACGACACGAGCUGACGACAGCCAUGCAGCACCUGUGACCAGGUUCCCUUUCGGGCACACUCCCAUCUCUGGGAGCUUCCUGGCAUGUCAAGGGUAGGUAAGGUUUUUCGCGUUGCAUCGAAUUAAUCCACAUAAUCCACCGCUUGUGCGGGGAGGAAGGUGGGGAUGACGUUCGUCUGAC
rnacentral:misc_RNA from 1 species